rnacentral:rRNA from 1 species
ACACGUAUGAAGGUCAAGCUGAAAGACUUUACCCAAUGAUGUAAGUGGUGGUGCAUGGCCGUUCGUGGUUCGUGGAUUGAUUCGUCUGGUUAAUUCCGAUAACGAGCGAGACCCUACCGUUCCUAAUAUGGGGCUAUAGCCCAACCGGUCGAAAGGCCGGUUAGCUAAAGCUUAAGAUUGGCUUCUUAGACGUAUCAGAGCCGAUAAGGUUCUUGAAAUGGGUUAAUAACAGGUCAGCAUGCCCUUAGAUGUUCUGGGCCGCACGCGCGUUACAAUGGCAUGUAAAGCAAGUGCUCACUGGUGAGUUUACCGUUGUCGAGAGGCACUGGCAAUCCAUAAUCCCUGCCUUGACUGGGAUAGAUCAUUGCAAUUAUUGGUCUUAAACGAGGAAUUUUUAGUAAUAGCCAGGUCAUUAACCUGCGCUGA